AAUGAAUGGAGAGGAGAAAACCUAUGGUGGCUGUGAAGGCCCUGAGAUGCCAUGUAUGUCAAAUUGAUACCAUCUGAUGGCCAUGAAUUUAUUGUAAAAAGAGAACAUGCAUUAAUAUCAGGCAUGAUAAAAGCCAUGUUGAACAGCCCUGGUCAAUUUGCCGAGAAUGAAACCAAUGAGGUCAAUUUUAGAGAGAUACCUUCGUAUGUGCUAUCAAAAGUAUGCAUGUAUUUUACUUACAAGGUUCGCUACACUAACAGCUCCACUGAGAUUCCCGAAUUCCCAAUCACACCUGAAAUUGCACUAGAACUGCUGGUGGCUGUGAACUUCCUAGAUU
rnacentral:lncRNA from 1 species